UAAAGAAUUUCGGUAUGGGAUGGGGAUGCGUUCCAUUAGUUAGUUGGCGGGGUAACGGCCCACCAAGACAACGAUGGAUAGGGGUUCUGAGAGGAAGGUCCCCCACAUUGGAACUGAGACACGGUCCAAACUCCUACGGGAGGUAGCAGUGAGGAAUAUUGGUCAAUGGACGAGAGUCUGAACCAGCCAAGUAGCGUGAAGGAUGACUGCCCUAUGGGUUGUAAACUUCUUUUAUAUGGGAAUAAAAUGUUCCACGUGUGGGAUUUUGUAUGUACCAUAUGAAUAAGGAUCGGCUAACUCCGUGCCAGCAGCCGCGGUAAUACGGAGGAUCCGAGCGUUAUCCGGAUUUAUUGGGUUUAAAGGGAGCGUAGGUGGAUUGUUAAGUCAGUUGUGAAAGUUUGCGGCUCAACCGUAAAAUUGCAGUUGAAACUGGCAGUCUUGAGUACAGUAGAGGUGGGCGGAAUUCGUGGUGUAGCGGUGAAAUGCUUAGAUAUCACGAAGAACUCCGAUUGCGAAGGCAGCUCACUGGACUGCAACUGACACUGAGGCUCGAAAGUGUGGGUAUCAAACAGGAUUAGAUACCCUGGUAGUCCACACAGUAAACGAUGAAUACUCGCUGUUUGCGAUAUACAGUAA
rnacentral:rRNA from 1 species